rnacentral:rRNA from 1 species
UACGUAGGGUGCAAGCGUUGUCCGGAAUUAUUGGGCGUAAAGCGCUCGUAGGCGGUUUGUUGCGUCGGACGUGAAAUCCCUCGGCUCAACCGGGGAACUGCGUCCGAUACUGGUUGGCUUGAAUUCGGGAGAGGGAUGCGGAAUUCCAGGUGUAGCGGUGAAAUGCGUAGAUAUCGGAAGGAACACCGGUGGCGAAAGCGGGGCGCUGGACCUCUUCUGAUGCUGAGGCGCGAAAGCCAGGGGAGCGAACGGG